rnacentral:lncRNA from 1 species
CCUUUGGAGACUUGUGCUACAGGACUUCCAUUUACCAACAAACCCUCAACCACUGCCUUGGAAUGGAGAGUAUUGUAGCCAAGAAACUCAGUAUCAGGGAUAUCUUCAGCAAGGUUUGCACCAUUUUCAACUGCUAGUUUAACUGUAUCAUGUGCUGCUUGGGAAAGCUGUCUUUGCUUCUCCAUUUCUAUGUCAAAGCUAUUCAUAUCUAUACUGAUUCCACGUUCUUCAGCAACUUCCUUUGUUAUCUCCACUGGAAAUCCAUAGGUGUCAUACAAUAUGAAAGCAUCCUUUCCCGACAGACAGGGUGCAGUCUCAGUUCCCUGAGAAUUUAACAAUGCAUCUGCCAGCAUCUGUUCAAGAAGUUUUUCUCCCCUCUCUAGAGUCAAGACAAAGCGAAGCUCUUCUCUUUUCAGUUCCUCAAAUAUGCGGGAUGAUCUUGUCUUCACAUCAGCAUCUAUAUUGGUGCUUAGUUCAAUCACUUUUUUGGCAAGUAGGGGCAAAAAUGCUCCUUGAAUAUCACCCAUUCCAUCUCCCUUCACACCAAGUAACCUGCCUGUUCGAACAACCCUUCUAAUGAGGCGACGUACCACAUAUCCCCUCCCAAUAUUUGAAGGGUUGACACCAUCAGAUAUCAGAUAAACAACUGCACGCAUGUGAUCUCCAAUUAUCUGGAUUGAUCAGAAUUAGAAGGCUUUCAACAUAUUAGAAGGUAAAUCACUUCACAAACAAAAGACUGGCAAAAAUACAACAAUUUUUCAGUUGCAACAUACUUUAAGCUUUGUUUUCGUAGAAUCAUCCGCAAGAGCAUAUGAGACAUUUGCCAAUUCUGCAGCCUUCUCUAUGAUGGGAAAUAUUAAGUCGGUUUCAUAAUUGUUGGGGACCUGUGAAAAAUGAAGAGAACCUCUAUGUUAAUCGAUCUUUUUGGUUGGUUGGGGGUGGGGUGGGGGUGGGAGGGGAGANGAUAAACUUUGAUUAGACCAGAUUUUCUGGAGACAACUGGUUUAAAAUCAACAAAAAUUGAAAUGCAAUAGUGAGGCUAACAUAGAUGAUUCAGGAAUCCAUGCAACCACAGAACCUCCCAUCAACUUUUCUUCUUUCCUCAAUAUGAUGCAUAUCCAUUCAAUUUUCACAUUAUACAGCAUAAUACCUUAGCUCGUUGUCUCAAGUUUGCAUCAACAGCUGCUUCUACUUCUUGGCCGACCUCUAUAGUACCUUCUGUAAUUGUCCCUUUGUGGACAAAUAUAUUACCCAUAGAUUUUUGGACAUCUUUUAUCUCUACAAUAGCUUUCUGUUCAUUUUCAGCCUCCGUCAUGUAUAGAAAACCGUUAUCCCCAAUUUGGCCUCCUGACUCGGCAUAAAAUGGAGUCCUGUUCAGCAAAAUUUCCACUUCACUUCCUUUGGAGACUUGUGCUACAGGACUUCCAUUUACCAACAAACCCUCAACCACUGCCUUGGAAUGGAGAGUAUUGUAGCCAAGAAACUCAGUAUCAGGGAUAUCUUCAGCAAGGUUUGCACCAUUUUCAACUGCUAGUUUAACUGUAUCAUGUGCUGCUUGGGAAAGCUGUCUUUGCUUCUCCAUUUCUAUGUCAAAGCUAUUCAUAUCUAUACUGAUUCCACGUUCUUCAGCAACUUCCUUUGUUA